rnacentral:lncRNA from 1 species
UUUGAAUCUCUUGCCGAUUAAACAACAGGAGCAGCACGUAAAGCGAAACCACGUACGCCAAAUCAUCGGGGGAUAAAAUAAACAUUCAGAGCAGAAGUAAGCAGAUUAACUAAUCCUGCCACUGCGCCCACCACCGGCCAAUUACGUUAUGGGGGGCUAAGCACAAGCACGACGCGACGGGGGGCGGGCUGCUGCUAUCUGAAGAAAUCAAAUCCUACCGCUGAAAAGGGAUCGGUCGCCAAACACCAAUCGAACAUCGCAUGCAUGCGUUGCACAAGAUUGGUGUUUGCUGCGCGCAUGUGGAAGGUUUUUUU